GAUGAACGCUAGCGGCAGGCUUAAUACAUGCAAGUCGAGGGGUAGCAAGAUUGUAGCAAUACAAUUGUUGACGACCGGCAAACGGGUGCGGAACACGUACACAACCUUCCUACAAGUGGGGAAUAGCCCAGAGAAAUUUGGAUUAAUACCCCGUAACAUAGCGAUGUGGCAUCACAUUGCUAUUAUAGCUCAGGCGCUGUCUGAUGGGUGUGUGGCUGAUUAGAUAGUUGGCGGGGUAAGGGCCCACCAAGUCUACGAUCAGUAGCUGAUGUGAGAGCAUGAUCAGCCACACGGGCAAUGAGACACGGGCCCGACUCCUACGGGAGGCAGCAGUAAGGAAUAUUGGACAAUGGACGCAAGUCUGAUCCAGCCAUGCCGCGUGAAGGAUUAAGGUCCUCUGGAUUGUAAACUUCUUUUAUAAGGGACGAAAAAAGGUCUUUCUAGAUCGUCUGACGGUACCUUAUGAAUAAGCACCGGCUAACUCCGUGCCAGCCGCCGCAGUAAAAC
rnacentral:rRNA from 1 species